AGCAGCCGCGGUAAUUCCAGCUCCAAUAGCGUAUAUUAAAGUUGUUGCAGUUAAAAAGCUCGUAGUUGAAUUUCGGGAUCAAUAUGUUGGUCGUGCCUUGGUACGUACUGGCGUCAUUGGUUUCUACCUUCUGAAGAACCUCGAUGUCAUUAAUUUGGUGUCUUGGGGAAUCAGGACUGUUACUUUGAAAAAUUAGAGUGUUUAAAGCAAGCCCACGCUUGAAUACAUUAGCAUGGAAUAAUGAAAUAGGACGUUUGAUUCUAUUUUGUUGGUUUCUAGGAUCGACGUAAUGAUUAAUAGGGAUAGUUGGGGGCAUUAGUAUUCAAUUGUCAGAGGUGAAAUUCUUGGAUUUAUUGAAGACUAACUACUGCGAAAGCAUUUGCCAAGGAUGUUUUCAUUAAUCAAGAACGAAAGUUAGGGGAUCGAAGACGAUCAGAUACCGUCGUAGUCUUAACCAUAAACUAUGCCGACUAGGGAUCGGAUGAUGUUAAUUUUUAAUGUACUCAUUCGGCGCCUUAAC
rnacentral:misc_RNA from 1 species